AUGAUAGAAAAUUGGUGCACACGUUAAUAUCUCUAUGUAAACCUGACAUGUGGCCCUUUUCUCCAUAUUUCCUGAUAACCCCUUGCAGAAAUAGAGAAACACCAAAACUUGUGGAAUUCUGUCAGAUAAAACCUUAAGUCUGGGUGUUGGUUGCAUUUGGAUCCUUUUCUUUGUUUAUUUGAUAAUUAAAUUUGGUACUUAAGGACCGUCAACAACUCCCCCAAGCUUACCUCUUGCUCAUCCCUGAGUAAGGAUGGACUCAAGAGUUUUUGUAGUGGUUUCAUGCCUUAAAGGUACACAUGCGUUCAAACAAGAUCUCAUCUCUAGGUUAGGGUAAAUUGUUAUGAUUUAAACUUACUCAUAUUACCUUCCACCAUGGGGCUUGCAAUCAUCACUUGUGUCUUGAGCAGUUAAAAGAUAGAACGGUCAAGUCAAGCGCCAUGUCUCUUGUUCUUGAUCAACUAUAGCUCUGGAGUUUUUGUAGAUUUUCAAAUAAAACUCAGAGAUUCCUUUGUAUGACUCUCUCAAAUCUCUCUUUUGUGUUAUUUCUGGAUCCUUACCAAGGCAGUGAUGGUAUAUGCCUUCUCUCAAAGCAUGUGACAUUUUUGGUAUGAGGCAUAGUGAGAUUGCCUUCUCUCUCACCCUACUCUAAUAAGGUUUUUGAUAUCUGGAGCUCAUAGGUGGGAGACAGCUAAUACAUACUUACAAGACAUUUAUUGCAUAGUCAAACCAUAGAUCCAAAGAAACAAGUCAAUAAGUCAAAUCAAGAUGUGCAUGUGUGGCGAAUGAAUGGUGUAUGGUGAUGAUGGUGAAAGUCUAAUUCUACUUUUGCUCUUUUGAGGGGAUACAUAGCUUUCUUGCACUUUGAAGCUUUUUGAGGGGAAUGAGAUGCUCUAUAUUUUAUUUUUCUUUUCUCUCAGGUGGGUAUCUUGUACCCCUAAUUCUACUAUCGGACACUUGUCCAUUUUUACCUCUCGUCUCACUUUUUCUUUUUUUCGAGGUUCUGGGCACUUGCCCCUUUUUAUUUCCUCGUAUUCAUUUUUUUAGAGCACUCACCCUCCUGGAAUAAUGUAGCAAGUGGUAGUAACCAAAAUAUCUCGAGCAUUUAUUUCACAGGGAAAAACACGAAUGGGAUAAUGUUUUUGGCUAUUCUUCCCGGAUGGGAGUAUAAUAAUUUUGGGAGAGUCUAGAGAUGGAAUUGAGUGGAUGUAUGUGGAUGCGUACUUCCUGAGUAGAAGUAGCAUGUAUGAGUGAACGUGCAUGACAAGCUCCUAAGGGUCUACACAGCUUGACCACACUCAAUGCUCAUAAGCAGUAAAUAGUAAAUGUAUGGUUCAUAGUCUAAUAAACAUGUAUAUAUGGCUGUGGUAGGAUUUUAAACUCUCAUCAUACAGGAACUCAUCAUGUAACAUUUUAAACAUUUUCAAACAUAAAAUUCUCCAGAAUUCUAGCAUCUCUAGGAACAGAUAAACAACAGCUCAACCUUUCCAUAUCAUAUAUGUUAACGACUUAGACUUUAGAUCAAGUACUCUUCCCACAAGUUCAGGUUUAAAGCAAAUCUUAAUUCAUAACAGUCUUGCCUAAACUUGAGAGAGAAUUCAAUUUUGAGAACUAGUCAUGGCAGAGCGACUAUUCAUCAUUUCCAUGUGAGAGCUUAUCAUGAGGGUUCAUAGCAAACUUUAUUUAUUUAUUUAUUUAGCAAACUGAGCAAAGAUAUAUAUAUAUAUAUAUAUAUAUAUAUAUAUAUAUAUAUAUAUAUAUAUAUAUAUAUAUAUAUAUAUAUACACACACAUAUAAGCAUAAACUCUUUAUUUGGGUUUUUAUGAUUAUGCAUCUUUUUAGUAGAAACACUUAGCUAGAUAAAUGGGGGUGCUCUCCCCCAAGCUGGAUUUUGAUGUAAUUUUUUCUGAUGUAGCUAGCAGGUGGUGGAGGUAUAUUUGAAUGUCGGCAGCACCCUGACAGCGAUUAGAAUGUCCUCCGUCUGCUAGUCUUCUUUGAUCUUUGAAUUCUGUGGAGCUCAAAUAGACAACAAAGCUUUGUGGAACUAGUUAAGUGUUAGCAUAAAUAUCUAGCCUUUGUCAUGUUGAGCCUCCUCAAUAAAUGUUACUCUCUUUGGUAGGAUCAUAAAUUUAUUUUUAUAUUUUCAUUUUUAUAGGACUGGAAUAUUUUUAUUUUUACGCCACCACAGUGAAUGUACUUAUGGGUUUUAUACCACGAGCAUACUCACAUGGGGCUUACUGUUUUAACAUUUUUAAUUUCUUUUCAAGAUAGCAUGAUUAACUGACAAGCUAUUAAGGAAAGUCAAUAAUUUAAGGGAAAAAGGAAUGCAUAAAGGAUAAAUAUGGAUAACUACCGAUUUUACCUUUCGGCGAGGGUUCAAUAUUUUAAGUCUUCUGAACAAGACUUCUCAUCGUGUUCAUUCUUUAGGUGCGUCAUUUGAUUCAGGUGUGGACCUUGACGUCUGCACCUCUUCAUACGGUGUCACCCAUGUUCUUCGUUUGCCUAGCAGUUCGAAGUGCGACGUUGGCAGUAUCUUGCUCACUGUGUUUGUGCUCAUAGAUCUAGGUCCUUCACAUGGU
rnacentral:lncRNA from 1 species